rnacentral:rRNA from 1 species
AGAGUUUGAUCCUGGCUCAGAUUGAACGCUGGCGGCAUGCCUUACACAUGCAAGUCGAACGGCAGCACGGAGCUUGCUCUGGUGGCGAGUGGCGAACGGGUGAGUAAUAUAUCGGAACGUACCCUAGAGUGGGGGAUAACGUAGCGAAAGUUACGCUAAUACCGCAUACGAUCUAAGGAUGAAAGUGGGGGAUCGCAAGACCUCAUGCUCGUGGAGCGGCCGAUAUCUGAUUAGCUAGUUGGUAGGGUAAAAGCCUACCAAGGCAUCGAUCAGUAGCUGGUCUGAGAGGACGACCAGCCUCACUGGAACUGAGACACGGUCCAGACUCCUACGGGAGGCAGCAGUGGGGAAUUUUGGACAAUGGGCGAAAGCCUGAUCCAGCAAUGCCGCGUGAGUGAAGAAGGCCUUCGGGUUGUAAAGCUCUUUUGUCAGGGAAGAAACGGUGAAAGCUAAUAUCUUUUGCUAAUGACGGUACCUGAAGAAUAAGCACCGGCUAACUACGUGCCAGCAGCCGCGGUAAUACGUAGGGUGCAAGCGUUAAUCGGAAUUACUGGGCGUAAAGCGUGCGCAGGCGGUUUUGUAAGUCUGAUGUGAAAUCCCCGGGCUCAACCUGGGAAUUGCAUUGGAGACUGGCAGGCUAGAAUCUGGCAGAGGGGGGGUAGAAUUCCACGUGUAGCAGUGAAAUGCGUAG